UUUUUGUUAUUUCCCUUGUUUUUUCACCCAUAAUCCUUCCCCUUCUCUCAAAACCCUCAGUAUGAGCGCCUGCUCAAAACCUAUCCAACCCAUCCUCCAUGCCUCUCUCUCUCUAUCUCUAUCCUUAUCUCUCUGUAUAUGUGAGACAGAACAUUUUCUUUGCGUUCCUCUUUCGCAUGGACUUGGUGCUAGUAAAUCAGCCUGUAAAACUGUUAGGAUCUAGACAAUUUUACUUGCAUGCCUUGAUGGGAUGCAUGAACUUGUCGGGAUCAUGUUCAAGGAGGAGUAAUUGAUAACUAUUGUUGCGCCACUAGCCUACUGGGCUGCGUAUGGAUUACCGUGAGACCACAACAUCUUCAAAGAUACCGAGAGUACACUACUAUAUAUAGGGACUAUGCCUCUGAAACCAAAUCAGUCAGCAGGGGAUAGGAUAUAAGAAGCAUGUCAGCCAACCGCAACUACUUCGUGAAUAUUAACUCAGACCAAGACAUACAAUCUACAAACUAGAGUCUAAAGUACCUACUAUUCUUGAAGAAUGUGCAGAACAAUUGAAGCAGUUGGACAAGUUAUAGGAAUAGGUUAAGCACAAGAGGAACCUAUUGAUUUUGUUACAAUCUGCUAGGAAAUGUCAUAUUUGUAUAGGAUACCAUUUUAUUCUCAUUUUUUAGAGUUGUACAAAUAUUAUGUCACGUAAUUUGAAUGUGUAUAGUUUUUUAGUAAAGUGAUGAUUUUCAUUUCAAUUGUAUAA